AGCCUGGACUACAUAGUAAGACCUUGUCUCACAAAACAAAAAAGUGUUGCCUUAACACUAGAAGGAAGUAGUUUUUACUAUGAAAAGAAUUAUCUUUCAUUAAAGCUGUUAAUAUGUUUUAGUCUUACACAGGAUGCUGUGUUCUGUGCUCCUUUGUGAGUGUCUGCUGCUGCUCACUGGCUAUGCUCACGAUGACGACUGGAUUGACCCCACAGACAUGCUCAACUAUGAUGCUGCUUCAGGAACAAUGAGAAAAUCUCAGGUGAAAUAUGGUAUAUCAGAGAAAAAAGAUGCCAGUCCUGAAUUGUCACAUGCUGAUGAAAUGUCAGAAUGUUAUAAUAGACUUGAUUCUUUAACUCAUAAGAUUGAUGAGUGUGAAAAGAAAAAGCGGGAAGACUAUGAAAGUCAAAGUAAUCCUCUUUUUAGGAGAUACCUAAAUAAAAUUUUAAUUGAAGCCGGAAAGCUUGGACUUCCCGAUGAAAACAAAGAUGAUAUGCAUUAUGAUGCUGAGAUUAUCCUUAAAAGACAAACUUUAUUAGAAAUACAGAAGUUUCUCAGUGGAGAGGAAUGGAAACCAGGAGCCUUGGAUGAUGCACUGAGUGAUAUUUUAAUUAACUUUAAGCUUCAUGAUUUUGAAACAUGGAAGUGGAGAUUUGAAGAUUCCUUUGGAAUGGAUCCACACAGUGUGUUGAUGGUACUCCUGUGUCUGCUCUGCAUUGUGAUGUUAGUAGCUACGGAGCUGUGGACGCGUGUUCGUUGGUACACCCAGUUGAGACGUGUUUUUAUCAUCAGUUUUCUCGUCAGUUUGGGAUGGAAUUGGAUGUAUUUGUAUAAGCUAGCUUUUGCACAGCACCAGGCUGAAAUUGCCAAGAUGGAGCCAUUAGGCAAUGCAUGUGCAGAGAAGAUGGAUUGGAGUGGCAGUCUCUGGGAAUGGUUCAGAAGUUCAUGGACCUAUAAGGAUGACCCAUGCCAAAAAUACUAUGAGCUCUUAUUAGUCAACCCUAUUUGGUUGGUUCCACCGACAAAGGCACUGGCAGUUACAUUUACCAACUUUGUAACAGAACCAUUAAAGCACAUUGGAAAAGGAACUGGUGAAUUUAUUAAAGCACUCAUGAAGGAGAUCCCAGUGUUACUUCAGAUUCCUGUGCUGCUGAUUAUGGCGCUGGCCGUCCUGAGUUUCUGCUAUGGUACUGGAAAGUCAGUUGGCGUGGUGAGACAUUUAGGUGGUCCUGAGAGAGAACCUCCCCGGGCCCUGGAGCCAGGUGAUAGAAGACGGCAGAAGGAAACUGAUGAUAGACUCAGUGGUGGAGCAGGUGAUGCAGAUUUCUAUUACAGGGGCCAUUCUGGCUCCCUCGAGCAAGGCCCUUAUGACAAAGCACUUGAGUGUAGAAGAGAUGUUUUGAGGGAGAGAGACGUUGACUUGAGAUUUCAGACUGGCAACAAGAGCCCUGAAGUGCUCCGGGCAUUUGAUUUACCAGAUACAGAGGCACAAGAGCAUCCCACGGUGGUACCCAGUCAUAAGUCACCUGUUGUGGAUACAAAGGCCCGAGAGACUGGUGGCAUCACAGAAGAAAGCACCAGGACAGAAAGCAGCCAGGCUGCUAAGCCUGCCUCUGGCCAAGCGGUCUCAAGUGCCCCUGAAGGCUCACCUGGCAUGGAAAAGGCCCCGCUAAAGAGUGAAGCUGAAGGCAGCCCCCAGAAGGGCAGCGUGUGCAGCCCAUUGUGUGGAAGGGAUCCUGUUAGCAGCCCCUGCAGCUAGAGGGACAGACAUGGGCCACAGCUCUGGAGUCUUCUUUUGAUUUUGGUAAAAUAAUCCAUUUGGGAAUAUGACCUAACUUUACAGCUAGCAAAACAUGUUUCCGCUGUUAAAUGAUUAGAGCAAUUAUGGCAAGAACCGACUAAAGCGAACUGAACCUAUCAAGGCCAGUUAUUUCAGAACCAUAAGGCUUGUUUGCUGACUAGCUGUGUGUGCCACUGAAAUUAAGGCUCGCAGUAAAAAAGCUUUUAAGAAAAUCAGAAUGGGGACAAACAGCUGUUAAAAGCAUUUUUUAAAUGGAAUAAUGUUGAAUGUUUACAGGAUCUCAAAGAACCACUGUAUACACAAAAUAAACAUUUACUUUUA